UACGAAGGGGGCGAGCGGUGUUCGGAAUUACUGGGCGUAAAGCGCGCGUAGGCGGCGCGUUCAGUCAGGGGUGAAAGCCCGGGGCUCAACCUCGGAAUAGCCCUUGAUACUAGCGUGCUGGAGUGCGGGAGAGGGUAGUGGAAUUCCCAGUGUAGAGGUGAAAUUCGUAGAUAUUGGGAAGAACACCGGUGGCGAAGGCGGCUACCUGGCCCGAGACUGACGCUGAGGCGAGAAAGCGUGGGGAGCAAACAGG
rnacentral:rRNA from 1 species